GCAUCGGAAUGAAGCGCAAAGCUGAACAGACCUGUAUGGAGUGUGAAGCUUCUUUCUUUGAGCAUCAUCUUGUCAUGCAUAACAGUUUGCACGUGGGAAAGAGGCACAGGCUUGUUGAGCCCAAUGCAGUGUUGCAGGAGAACAUCUGCUCUGAUCAUGGCAAAAUGCUGUACUGCCGCACAGACCAGCUGUGCAUCUGUCACUUGUGCAUUACCGAUAAACACAGAGGUCAUGAAGUCAUCCCAGUGGAAGAGGAAGUGGCCAAUAAACAGAUUAAGUUGGGGGAGUUGGAAAAGUGGACCGCUGACAUAAUUAAAGCUAAGGAGAAGGAUGUGCAAGAGCUGAGACUAGCUGUGGAGAUUUUCAAGGCUUCAGCAAAUGAGGCACUGGAGAAGAAUGAGAAAAAUUUCACAGAGCUGAUCCAGUCAAUGAAAGACAGUCAGAGCAAUGACAGAGCUGAUCCACAGACAGACGAAGUGUGCAGUGAAGGAAGCGGAGGGAUUCAUAAACACGCAGGAGAUCAAUAAUAUGAGGUCCUCAGGUGCUGAUCUACAACACCUGGAGCUGCUCUCUCAUUCAAACAAUGAUGUUCGAUUUUUUGAGAGCGCUGUGUCUCUGCCUUUGCUGACUGAGUAUAAAAAAACAUUUGUCUUUCUUGUGCAUCCGUACAAUUCUUUUGAGCGUGAUUCCAUGGCAGUUAGCGAGCUAAUAGAAAAGCUAAACGUGACCAGCAAGAUGAGUUUAUUCACAAUUUCUAGAAAAGUGUUUAAUGCUGAGAAGGACACCAGGCUAGAAGGACUCUUCAGCCUUCCCUAAGAAGCACCCAUGUAUACAAAUCACCUUUUUUUUUUUGCAGUGAGAAACACUAGAAUUGUUAGAUCACCACCACCACAGACACGAGAGGAGUUUCUGCAGUAUGCAUCAAAACUCACUUUUAAUACCAACUCAGCAAAUGAAAGUCUCAUCUUGAGGAAUGAGAACAGGGAGGUGAUAGCCACGCACCUGCUCCAGGACUAUCCUGAACACACUCAGAGGUUUAACUGCAGGGCACAAAUCCUGUGCAAUGAAGGUCUCAGAGGCUCCCCUAAAUAUUGGGAAGUAGAGAUUGGCGGGGGCACUUGGGUCUGCAUUGCUGUGUCCUACCAAGGGAUCCGUAGAAAAGGCAAGCAGCGUACACUUUUUGGAAGAAAUGCUCAGUCAUGGGGAUUACGCUGUGAAAGUGUCCGUGUAGAAUUUUGGCAUGACAAUAAGACAACUUUUUCGAAGUUUCAAUCACAUGGCUCCAAAAUAGGAGUUUUUUUGGACUUCAGAGCUGGAAUCUUGGCAUUUUACAGUGUUUCCGACAACAUGAGUCUCAUUUAUAAGCACCAAACUGUUUUUAAAGAGCUUGUUUAUCCUGGGUUCGGACUGGCUGGGAAAGGUUCCUAUGUGAGGCUUUGUGAUCCAUUGAAAAAUUAGACAAAAAUGUGCCUUUCUUCUCCAUUUAAUUUAGGUAGUUUGUAAAUUGUAGUGUUUACACAUGCAGCUGUCAUGAAAUGCAUUUUAUUCUUAAACAAAUACAGUAUGUAAUAGUCAAUCAGGAUUUGGAAGAAGGAUGUGGUUUUUACAUGUAGACACUUGGUGGCAGCACUAUAUAAAGUUUUAAAUUGAGCCUUUUCAUGUCAGCAUCUGUAAUUAUGAACAGCUCAAGUUUAGCCAAAAAUAACCCAAGGAAGCAUAUCGAAGCAGUGCAUUUUGACUGAAAAAAGUCCAUGCUUUGUAUUGUAUGAAUCA